rnacentral:rRNA from 1 species
GACGAACGCUGGCGGCGUGCUUAACACAUGCAAGUCGAACGAAGUGGAGAACGGGUGAGUAACGCGUAAUCAACCUGCCCUUCAGAGGGGGACAACAGUUGGAAACGACGGAUAACACCGCAUACUGAAGCUGGAGUUUGCGUAUGAUUCGCUAGUUGGUGGGGUAACGGCCCACCAAGGCGAUGAUCAGUAGCCGGUCUGAGAGGAUGAACUGCCACAUUGGGACUGAGACACGGCCCAGACUCCUACGGGAGGCAGCAGUGGGGAAUCUUCCGCAAUGGACGAAAGUCUGACGGAGCAACGCCGCGUGAGUGAUGACGGCCUUCGGGUUGUAAAGCUCUGUUAAUCGGGACGCGGUACCGGAAUAGAAAGCCACGGCUAACUACGUGCCAGCCGCCGCGGUAAUUC